GGAGCGAAAGCUCCCGUGUAAUGUCGCCGUGGACGGUCACAAGCCCGUGAAAAGACAGAGUGCACG
rnacentral:ribozyme from 1 species